rnacentral:miRNA from 1 species
GUAUUGAAAGGUUGUUCACGAGC